rnacentral:rRNA from 1 species
UACGGGGGGGAGCAAGCGUUGUUCGGAUUUACUGGGCGUAAAGGGCGCGUAGGCGGUCGUGACAAGUCACUUGUGAAAUCUCCGGGCUUAACUCGGAACGGUCAAGUGAUACUGUCGGACUAGAGUACAGAAGGGGCAACUGGAAUUCUCGGUGUAGCGGUGAAAAUGCGUAGAUAUCGAGAGGAACACCUGCGGCGAAGGCGGGGUUGCUGGGCUGAUAC